rnacentral:rRNA from 1 species
CCUACGGGGGGCAGCAGUGGGGAAUUUUGCGCAAUGGGGGAAACCCUGACGCAGCAACGCCGCGUGCGGGACGACGGCCCUACGGGUUGUAAACCUCUUUUGUCGGGGAGCAAAGCGAGUCACGUGUGACUCAUUGAGAGUACCCGAAGAAAAAGCAUCGGCUAACUCCGUGCCAGCAGCUGCGGUAAUACGGAGGAUGCGAGCGUUAUCCGGAUUUAUUGGGUUUAAAGGGUGCGCAGGCGGAGGUGCAAGUCAGCGGUCAAAUUGCGGGGCUCAACCCCGUACUGCCGUUGAAACUGCAUCCC